rnacentral:rRNA from 1 species
GGAGUUAGCCGGUGCUUCUUCUGUGAGUGAUGUCCUUCCUGCCGGCUAUUAACCCGCAGGCCUUCUUCCUCACUGAAAGUGCUUUACAACCCGAAGGCCUUCUUCACACACGCGGCAUGGCUGGAUCAGGGUUGCCCCCAUUGUCCAAUAUUCCCCACUGCUGCCUCCCGUAGGAGUCUGGGCCGUGUCUCAGUCCCAGUGUGGCUGAUCAUCCUCUCAGACCAGCUACGGAUCGUCGCCUUGGUGAGCCGUUACCUCACCAACCAGCUAAUCCGACAUAGGCUCAUCCGAUAGCGCGAGGCCCGAAGGUCCCCCGCUUUCCCCCGUAGGGCCGUAUGCGGUAUUAGCCUGGGUUUCCCCAGGUUAUCCCCCACUACCGGGCAGAUUCCUAUGCAUUACUCACCCGUCCGCCGCUCGCCACCAGGGAGCAAGCUCCCCGUGCUGCCGCUCGACUUGCAUGUGUUAGGCCUGCCGCCAGCGUUCAAUCUGAGCCAGGAUCAAACUUGACUCGAGCGGCGUGCGACGCGC